GUCAGACCUUCCGGAACACUUUCAAAAGUUACGUUGAAAAAGUUCUACUUUCUAUAUGCAUUUUUAUGUUUUGAAUCCCCCCUGUAUUUAGGGAAAUGGUCCGAUUUAAAAAAACAGUAUGUCGAAUGAAAGAUCUAUAUAAAUACUACUUCUUAUAAAAAAUUUGUAAUGAUUCAUUCAUUUUUCAAAAAGUUAUAGCAUAAUAAAGUUAAAAAUGGAAAAUACAAAAUCGAAAAUUUUCACACAAAAAUAGCAUUCGGUAGCCAUUUUCACCAUGAAGAUAAGAUAAAGUCCGAAAUUUUUUUUUUUCAUGAUAAAGCAUAUUACAUUAGCUUUAAUUUAAGAUAUAUAUAAAAGUGUCAGACCUUCCGGAACAUUUUCAAAAUUUAAGUUAAAAAAAUUAAUUUUUUGUGAAAAAGUUGUCAUUUUAAAUCCCCCCUUGUGGGCAGGUUAAGGGUUAAAUUUAUGAAAAAAAUAUACCAAAUGAAAGGUAAUGAUAUUAUGCAUCUAUAUAAAAAAGAAUUAUAUUGAUAUGUUCAUUUUUGAAAAAGUUAUGGCACUUUUAAGUAAAAAAAAUUGAAAAAAUUUCGAAAAUUAGCGAUUUUUAAAUUUGUAAUUUUUUUGGAGGUUUCCUCCAUUUACGGGGAACGAGGGAAUUUUUUUCAAUUUUUGAGGGUAAUGUCUUCGACUAGAUACGAUUUGUGAUCUUUUGACGUAUCAUUGAAAGAAAUCGGUUCGGUGAGAGCUGAGAAAAAGUGGUAACAGACACAAAAAAAAAAAAAAAAAAAAAAAAAAAAACA